UGGGGGAUAUUGCACAAUGGGCGAAAGCCUGAUGCAGCGACGCCGCGUGGGGGAUGAAGGCCUUCGGGUUGUAAACUUCUUUUGCUCUGAACAAGGCAUGCUAAUGGGUGUGUUGAGUGUAGGGGUUGAUUAGCGCCGGCUAACUACGUGCCAGCAGCCGCGGUAAUACGUAUGGCGCGAGCGUUGUCCGGAAUUAUUGGGCGUAAAGGGCUUGUAGGUGGCUGGUUGCGUCUGUCGUGAAAGCUCAUGGCUUAACUGUGGGUUUGCGGUGGAAACGGAGUGGCUUGAGUGCAGGAGGGGAGGCUGGAAUUCCUGGUGUAGCGGUGGAAUGCGCAGAUAUAGGGAGGAAUACCGGUGGCGAAGGCGGGUCUCUGGGCAGUUACUGACACUGAGGAGCGAAAGCAUGGGGAGCGAACAGG
rnacentral:rRNA from 1 species